GAUUGCAGAAGAGUUAAACUAGUUAAAGCAUAAAAUAGGUGAAAGUGAAAUAAGACAAACCGUCAUCGUCCCACCGUGAACAGAAAACAUUGUAAUCAAUGGAGGUGAAGACGUCUAAGUUAUAUACCUAUUGUUAUAGUUCUCAUAUUAAAGUUUGCAAACAUUUCUUUGACCCUCAUCAAUUUGGGAAGUCAUUAAGCAAUGUUAAAUAAAGUUUGCUGUUAACCUUUAGAUGUGGCGAAAAUUCUGUACUGUUAUAAUUCUUGAAACGUCAUUAAGAAACAAUUUGUCAAAGAUAAAUGUUUAAACAUCCGGAAUUAGGCUAGUCAGUCAGUCAGUCUCGUCAGUUCUGGCGGAUGAUUGUUUAUUGCUCAUAGGACUUAUUCCGUAAAACGGAAGUUUAUUUUUGUUUACAGUGCAGCAGAGUAAAUUUAAAUUCUAAAAAACGUCAUAAUUUAUAAAUGUAAUCGAAUAUUGUGCAUGAAAACAAAACAACACACGACAAAAGUGCAGUCACGAACACCAUCACGGAUUUACCUAAAAAUAGUUUGCUGCAUAUUGAAAUCGCAGCAUAAUUUUUCCAGCAAUUUGUUAUCAAUAACAAUUUAAGUGAUAUAUUAAUAAGACACUACAUUUUCUGGCACAGUUUUCGUUCUAAAUAUAAAUAAUAAUUUUAAUACCAUGGUGAUUUUCGAUGUGUCGCAUGUUUAUUUGUACGUUGUUCUAUUAAUAAGUUAAUUAGUGCUUUCUAAGCUGUUUAGUAUUAGACUGACGUUCUGCACAUUUGUUUAGAAAAUUAAUUGCCAUUGUACUUGUUUUCUGCACAUCAUAAAUUUAUUCCAGAUAAGGUGUAUUCCAGAUAAGAUAAUUAUCUUUUGGCUACUGUGCAGCAAAAACAUGUUCUUAUUAAAAUUUAAAUCUUAAAUUAUUGUUAUAAUAAACGGUGCUUGCCAAAAGAAAAAAAAUCGAUAACACUCCGCCACAACUUAUUACGUGCACGUAGUUCAUUUUUAAACCAGUCGUUGUGAACAUCGAACGUGAAAACUCCGCUAUAAAAAUGGCUGAUAGACCAGAAGAUCAACCCGACAAUGUAGACGCAGGGAAACCGAAAAGCAGGAAGAAGAGGCACCUCAUGGACGUUCCACCUCGUCAAGUUGGUGAUGACGGUCAAGAAGAGGAGGAGUUCAAAUAAUUAUAUGCACUAUUAAUUUAUUCCAAUAUUAAUCAUAUGUAAGCCUUAGUUUAUCAAAUAAACCUAGACUGCUUAUAA